UUGAUCUCCCCUAUUACUUUCAAACGUUUAGUUGAUUAUGAUUGACAGAAAAUGUGUAUUAAAGUGCUGCUUUCAUGUUAUAGUGAUCGUAAUAGUGUUGAUUGACAGGUUAGACCUAGAUUUUGAACUUUAUUGCUAUUGUUUUGAGCAAUCGAUUGCUUGAGGUAUUGCGUGGCAAAACUGCGAAGUGUUAGGUAUUAUCAAUAGUUCAUAUUUCAGCGAUAUAAGAACAAUAUAUAUUGGGUUAUUGGACAUCAAUUUGUUUGACGACAAUUAAUGAGAGAAACGGUUAGAUUUAAACAUCAAACCUGAAAGUCUGUAAAGCAGUCAAUAUUUCAUGACGAUUUUUGACAUUUCAAUCACUUUGGAAAUAUUUAAAAGAUUACAUUUUAAAUUGGAUCUGUCUUUUAUGGAAAAUAAGAAUCCAAUAUUGAAUUUAUUAUCUUGCAUGCCGAGUAUUAUAUAAAUAUUAUAUUGAAUUACAAAAGCUAAAUUUAAUUCUGGAAAAUGUUACAAGUGGACGUGAGAGCUACGUGAAAUGGAGUAAUAGUAUGUCAAUGGAGUAAACGUCUAUGGAGUAAAAUGAGGUGCAUAGGAUUUGUAAAAUGGUUUGGAGUUUUAUUGCUCCUUGAUUCACUUGUGUACAAAGUGACUGCAUCUUGUCGAUGGUCAAAUGAGGGAUGUUACGAAGAUGAGGAUUGUUGUUCGGAGUCUUGUGAGCGAGCACACGAAGGUGCACACAAGAGAUGUUCCAAAAGUGAAAUCAAUCAACCAUGCUACGCAGAUUAUAUGUGUGAAGAUGGAUUACAGUGUGGCCGGAAGUAUAAAUGUUGUACGCCUUAUUGGGGAAUUUGUAACUCGAAUGAUGAAUGUUGCGGUUCGGAACACUUCUGUACUUUCCAUAAGGGAUUUACAUAUAAGCGGUGCCUUUUUCCUAGCAGUUUAGCACUUAAGUCCAGAAUAGACGCUAAACUGUUUUCAGUUGUUAUGUUAUUUUGGUUACUACAAUGUUUUAAUUACAGAACAUGGCUGAAUAUCAUGAUGUAAAAGACUUAUUUUCAAAUAUACAAAAAUGAAUAGAUAUGAAAUAAAUGCACCUGCUGUAUAAAUUAUAUAAAAAUCAAACACACCGAGUAUAAACAGAUUUAGAUGAUAAUUGACAAAACCUGUAUUUUAGACUUCGAUUUUUACCCCUGAAAAUAUAUUUAAAGUCAUUAAAUUCAAGUGCAGCAAAGAACCCUCCUUCUCACCAUUGUUUUAUAUCUAGGUUAAGGGAAAUAACUCUUAAAAUCUUUACUAUGUUUGUAACAGCCAAUUUCAUAAAUAUUAUCCAAGCUUCUCGGAUACAUAGACUAUUUCCAAUCUGUUUCAGGUAAAUGCUUAAAUUACAUUUACGAAACUUACCUAUUUCAAACGCGUAACUGACUUAUAAAGUUAUUUCCUGAUGUAAGGCCUAAAAUAUUAAGCAAGAUUAUAAACAUAUGCAACCAAUGCCUAUAAUGUAGGAUAUCACGUGACUAUUGUGAUGAAGGUGUAUUGCAAGAAGUAUCGUGCCUUGGUCAUCGUUAUAGAAGAAACGGUUGCUCCUUUAAUUUGCCUUCAGGAAAUAAAAAAAUCAACCGUAUCGUGUCCUUGUUGCUACAGCACAAGAACAAUCUACAAUGUAAUUGAAAUGUAGAACUCUGAUUUCAAACAAUUUUCCUAUACAUCCCUUAAAAGUAAGAAAUAUAUUGCCAAAAAAUGUUACCUUAAGAUCAAACCACUUUUCCUUUUUCAUAUAGGUUGUAAAUUUCAACCAUAUUAAGUUUAUUUUCUGUAUUUAUUAAAGUUCGCUUAUCUAGACAGAUUAUUUAAAGCUAUUUGCAUUUCUUUUCUUCAAUUUAUCAUAAAGAAAGAAAUGGAUAUCUCGAAUAAUGAUUUGUAAAUAAUUUUAUAAAAACAGUUGGAAAAUCUGUGCAAAAGUAACAAUAUACAAAAUUUGCAUUUAACGCUCAAAAGAUCAUAUGAUUAACUUUCAUUUACUAAAAUACCAUUCAGGCCAGUUUCUGUUCCAAUACAUGUACAAAAAUGUAUUUGAUCCCCCAUUUUUUUUGUAUAAUAGUAGCUCUUUCACUCCCAAGGAUAUAUCAAAUAAUGUUAUUUUCUAUGAAUCAAAAUUCAGCUGUGAACUUCUUUUUUUUUUCGUAAUUUGUAGUUUUUAUAAUCUAAUGCAUACUUUCAAAAGCGUUUGUGAUUGGUUAAAAUGAUGUAUAUUUAACCAAUGACGUGGCGUUAUUUUAACAGUGAAAUUGCCCACUAUUCUUAAAAUUAUGAAAAUGGUAAAUUUCAGUAUUUGUGUACUCAAUUUUAAAGUCCUGCCACUGUUCAUUUCCAAUUAGUACAAUUUAUUUCUUUAUUGUGACAAUCAAAAUGUUUGUGUUUGUAUAUUUUGUGCCUAUUUGCAUAUUGUUGUUACAUGAUGCAUAUAUAAUUGUUAUUAAAUUAUUUUAUUGCA